rnacentral:rRNA from 1 species
UGGGGAAUUUUGGACAAUGGGCGAAAGCCUGAUCCAGCAAUGCCGCGUGUGUGAAGAAGGCCUUCGGGUUGUAAAGCACUUUUGUCCGGAAAGAAAUCCUUGGCUCUAAUACAGUCGGGGGAUGACGGUACCGGAAGAAUAAGCACCGGCUAACUACGUGCCAGCAGCCGCGGUAAUACGUAGGGUGCAAGCGUUAAUCGGAAUUACUGGGCGUAAAGCGUGCGCAGGCGGUUUGCUAAGACCGAUGUGAAAUCCCCGGGCUCAACCUGGGGAACGGCAUUGGUGACUGGCAGGCUAGAGUAUGGCAGAGGGGGGUAGAAUUCCACGUGGUAGCAGUGAAAUGCGUAGAGAUGUGGAGGAAUACCGAUGGCGAAGGCAGCCCCCUGGGCCAAUACUGACGCCUC